GCAGGGUUUGGGUCAGGUGAGGUUCUGCAUAGCUAACAAUACCCCAAUUAUGCUAUGCUGCUGCCAAGGGACCUCACAAGGAGGUAGUACAAGCCACUGCUAGUGGCUAUACAAAGGAGUGAAGCCUUCUAAGUACAGUACCUGGCACAAUGAAUUGUCAAGCAAAUGGCAAAUCUUCUCUGCAGAGGGGAACUGAGACCCAGUACCCACAAUCCACUCUGGAGUCUCCUAAUAAUCCUGAAGAGGGAAGCCCAGAGGAAAUCAUCUGGUCACCAGGUAUGCCCCUGGGCUCCUGCCGCAGCUGAUCGGGUGCUAGGUGCUGAGGAUACACGUCUGGGAGAAAGCAAUUGGAAGAAAUGCAAAGCUCUUCAAAGGAGGCCUAUAAAGUCAUCUUUGUUUUGUUCAUUCUUCUCAUGUUUCUGCAUUCUGGGCAUUCUCCUAAAUUGGGGAGAAACCAAAAUGCCCAGAAGUCAAAUUCUGCAACUGUCAUCAUGCAAAAUGUCAAAUGAGAGAACCAAAGUAUGCUGGAUUCUAUAUUGUUAG
rnacentral:lncRNA from 1 species